rnacentral:rRNA from 1 species
UACAGAGGGGGCGAGCGUUGUUCGGAAUUACUGGGCGUAAAGGGCGCGUAGGCGGCCAACUAAGUCGGAACGUGAAAUCCCCUGGCUCAACCAGGGAACAUGGCGUCCGAUACUGAUUGGCUUGAAUCCGGGAGAGGGAUGUGGAAUUCCAGGUGUAGCGGUGAAAUGCGUAGAUAUCUGGAGGAACACCGGUGGCGAAGGCGGCAUCCUGGACCGGUAUUGA